rnacentral:rRNA from 1 species
GAGCGGAAAGGCCCUUCGGGGUACUCGAGCGGCGAACGGGUGAGUAACACGUGAGCAACCUGCCCCUGGCUCUGGGAUAGCCUCCGGAAACGGGGAUUAAUACCGGAUAUGACUGCCUCCUGCAUGGGGGGUGGUGGAAAGUUUUUCGGCUGGGGCGGGGCUCGCGGCCUAUCAGCUUGUUGGGGGGGUGACGGCCCACCAAGGCGACGACGGGUAGCCGGCCUGGGAGGGCGACCGGCCACACUGGGACUGAGACACGGCCCAGACUCCUGCGGGAGGCAGCAGUGGGGAAUAUUGCGCAAUGGGCGGAAGCCUGACGCAGCGACGCCGCGUGGGGGAUGAAGGCCUUCGGGUUGUAAACCUCUUUCACCAGGGACGAAGCGGAAGUGACGGUACCUGGGGAAGAAGCGCCGGCUAACUACGUGCCAGCAGCCGCGGUAAU